GCCGGGCAUGGUAGAGCGUGCCUGUAAUCCCAGCUACUCGGGAGGCUGAGGCAGGAGAAUCGCUUGAACCCGGGAGGCGGAGGUUGCAGUGAGCCGAGAUUGUGCCACUGCACUCCAGCCUGGGCAACAGAGUGAGACUCUGUCUCCA
rnacentral:SRP_RNA from 1 species